rnacentral:rRNA from 1 species
UUUCCAGACUCCUACGGGAGGCAGCAGUGGGGGAUAUUGCACAAUGGGGGGAACCCUGAUGCAGCGACGCCGCGUGGGUGAAGGAGUGCUUCGGCAUGUAAAGCCCUAUCGGCAGGGAAGAAGCAAGACGGUACCUGACUAAGAAGCCCCGGCUAACUACGUGCCAGCAGCCGCGGUAAUACGGAGGGGGCAAGCGUUAUCCGGAUUUACUGGGUGUAAAGGGAGCGUAGACGGCCCUGCAAGCCAGAUGUGAAAGCCCGGGGCUCAACCCCGGGACUGCAUUUGGAACUGUAAGGCUAGAGUGUCGGAGAGGCAGGCGGAAUUCCUAGUGUAGCGGUGAAAUGCGUAGGUAUUAGGAGGAACACCAGUGGCGAAGGCGGCCUGCUGGACGAUGACUGACGUUGAGGCUCGAAAGCGUGGGGAGCACACAGGAUUAGAUACCCGUGUAU